UCAAACUUGCGAUCCUCCAGCCUCAGCCUCCCAAGUCAAUGGGAUUAUAGAUGUGUGCCCCUGUGCCAGGUGAGUUUUAAACCUAUAUUAUUAACAUUCAUUUUCAUUUUGCUUUAUUAUGAAAAGUCAAAAGCUAGCAAUUUCCUGAAUAUAAUAAUUCAGCCAUUAAAUAAACGUUAGUUUUUGACCCUCAAUUAGCCUUACUCAUUUUCUUUGAAUGCCUUUAGUCAGAAAUAGAAGAUUGCUUUAAGCUUAAAUUUUUAUUAAUAACCUCGGGACAAAUACAUUAAUAAUAAUUCCUUAUAGAUAUAUAGCAUUUUACAAUUUUGAAAGAACUUUCACAUACACCAAUUAAACCCUCACAACAUCCCUGUGAGGUAGGCAGGGUAGGUGUUAUUUUCUAUUACUAAUGAGAACAAGGCUCAGAGGUCACACAGUUGGUAAAUGAUGGAGCCAGGACUAGAACUUGGGCCUUCCGACAUGCUGCCUCCCUGAGAACAUUCAAGUAAUGAUAUCCAUGCUAUAUAAUGAAAAUUUCUCUCCUAUGAUGUUGAUCAGAUCCAUUUUCGUAAGUUUUUAUAUCACCUUUCUCUAAUAUGCCUAAACAUUCAAACUGAUAAGACAUUUCUUCCCUGUUUCUGGACUAUUUCUUAGAUGUAUCAAGCACCAUCCUAAGAUGAAACUUACGAUUAAGUUUUGAGGAUCCUUGGCUACAAAUGCUUAGAUUAUGAUAUGAAGAUUUAUUUCAGAAAAUUCUGCCUAAAUAUUUCCAUGUCAUACAUGUCAAACUGAAACCAAACAGAAAAGGAGGAGAACCAUUAUAUUCUACUUUCAAGUCUGAUCCCAUCUCAUGUGUGAAAUCCUUAGCAACAAGCUAUAAAAAUGAUCUGAAUUAUACCAAUAGGAGGACUCGAGCAGUAGUGACCAAAACAUAUAUGUAUGUGGUACGAAUAAAACACUUGCUCUUCAGUGGUUCAUCUAGGUCCAGUGUAAAUUACUUCUCAAGGCAGAUUUUAAGCUAUACCAUCUCUUUUAAAUUUUAAAAUGUGAAAUAUGGUAGAGUUAUCAACUUGGAAUAUGACUGAAUGUAAAUGACCCCCCAACUACCUUUCAAGCAGACUAAAGCUCCAAAGAUAUGAAAGGCAAGGGAUAAAACCUAGUUUUUCUAGUAUGGAGUGAAAAAGAGCAACUGCAAAACUGCAGGUUCAAGUGAACCAUAGAACAUCGUGCAUGUUUUAAAAACAUGAAAAUGACCUGUAUUAUCAGGAAUGAUAUUUUGAAAAUUCCAGUUAUGACCUUCUACAUUUAAGAGUAAUGGGAUGAACCUAAGCCUGUGGGGGAUCUAGAGAGGGAGUUGGGAUGGGAAGUUAGGGAAAACCAAGAAAAACCUUAAAUACAUUCAUCUUUCCAAAAAUGUUUUCUAA